rnacentral:rRNA from 1 species
CCUACGGGAGGCAGCAGUGAGGAAUAUUGGUCAAUGGCCGUAAGCCUGAACCAGCCAAGUCGCGUGAAGGAAGAAGGACCUAUGGUUUGUAAACUUCUUUUAUAGGGGAAUAAAGGUAUCCACGUGUGGAUAUUUGCAUGUACCCUAUGAAUAAGCAUCGGCUAACUCCGUGCCAGCAGCCGCGGUAAUACGGAGGAUCCGAGCGUUAUCCGGAUUUAUUGGGUUUAAAGGGAGCGUAGGUUGUUUUUUAAGUCAGCGGUGAAAGUUUGUGGCUCAACCAUAAGAUUGCCGUUGAAACUGGCAGCCUUGAGUGUGUGUGAGGUAGGCGGAAUGCGUGGUGUAGCGGUGAAAUGCAUAGAUAUCACGCAGAACUCCGAUUGCGAAGGCAGCUUACUAAGCCAUAACUGACGCUGAGGCACGAAAGCGUGGGGAUCAAACAGGAUUAGAUACCCCUGUAGUC